rnacentral:rRNA from 1 species
AGUGAACGCUGGCGGUAGGCCUAACACAUGCAAGUCGAACGGCAGCACAGAGGAGCUUGCUCCUUGGGUGGCGAGUGGCGGACGGGUGAGGAAUACAUCGGAAUCUACUCUGUCGUGGGGGAUAACGUAGGGAAACUUACGCUAAUACCGCCUACGACCUACGGGUGAAAGCAGGGGACCUUCGGGCCUUGCGCGAUUGAAAGAGCCGAUGUCGGAUUAGCUAGUUGGCGGGGUAAAAGCCCACCAAGGCGACGAUCCGUAGCUGGUCUGAGAGGAUGAUCAGCCACACUGGAACUGAGACACGGUCCAGACUCCUACGGGAGGAAGCAGUGGGGAAUAUUGGACAAUGGGCGCAAGCCUGAUCCAGCCAUACCGCGUGGGUGAAGAAGGCCUUCGGGUUGUAAAGCCCUUUUGUUGGGAAAGAAAUCCAGCUGGCUAAUACCCGGUUGGGAUGACGGUACCCAAAGAAUAAGCACCGGCUAACUUCGUGCCAGCCGCCGCGGUAA